UUCGCGGUAUGUGGUAUGCGUACUACGCGGUUCCGGUUGUGGCUCCGUGGGGUUUUUCCCAAACUUGACAGUUUGUGUUAUUAUGACUAUCGCGCAGAAUUUUUUUUAACCGAAAUCCACAAGUCCUUUAAUUACGAUAAUUUACCGCACGAGGGUAUGUGUGUACAUUGGCAAAUGGUGCAUGUGUAGUUACUAUGUUGUUGAGUGUCCGCCGUAAGCUGUUUGCUGGUUUCGUUGACGGUUGUGGUCAGUAACCAUCGUAAUACUCCAAUAAAGACAUCGAUCGAGAUUCAUGUGAAAAUAAUGACACUUGGACUUGGGUACCCGAGAUGGUGGUUAAUACGACACGGAAAUACCGACGGGAAACGUUUCAUCUAAAACCCCAUUAUGUCGGUCGUAUUUACACUUUUGACACGUUUGUUCGAUAUUGUUUUCAUUCACGGAGUUUACAGUUCCACAAUGCAACGGGAAAGUCGCUUCUGAAUAUGUGUAUUAUACGUCUAUAUUAUCUAUAUACCUAUAUUAUACAUACACGCAUUGUUCGCCGACUCUAGACUCGUUUUUUUUGUCGACGUCGCGUGUUUCGCAAGGUGCGUCCGAAAUCGUAUGAAUUUCUUGUCAGCCGUUCAAAAACACAUAUACGAUCCCGUGUACUAUAGAAGGCGUGUCUCCAGGCCGGUUAUGUAUAGAAGCAAUUCAAUAAUUCAGCGCACCAUCGAGUUCCUACCUACAAUUACGCCCCAGUUCGUUAAAAGUGCAAAUAAAAUGAUAUGAAAUGCCCUCAAGAAUUUUUUCAUUAAUUAUCAUAAAAAGGUGUUGCUCAAGAUCUCUUCCCAAUAUGACAAUAUGACAUUAAUAUGAUUGAUGUUUUUAAUAUAAACGUUAUAUUUUUAUAGUUGACCACUUCACGGACACCACUUAUUACCCGUUUUAUUUAAUUGUUGUCACAGAAUCAUCAAAUCAAAAAAAA